UGCGGGGUCGUCUAAGUGGAAAGACGCCUGGCUUUGGACCAGGAGAUUCCAGGUUCGAGUCCUGGCCCCGCAGCCA
rnacentral:tRNA from 1 species